AUACGGAGGGUGCAAGCGUUACUCGGAAUCACAGGGCGUAAAGCGCGCGCAGGCGGUCUUUUAAGUUGGAUGUGAAAGCCUACGGCUCAACCGUAGAACUGCAUCCAAAACUAUUAGACUAGAGUGUGGGAGAGGAAGAUGGAAUUAGUUGUGUAGGGGUAAAAUCCGUAGAGAUAACUAGGAAUACCAAAAGCGAAGGCAAUCUUCUGGAACACUACUGACGCUGAGGCGCGAAAGCGUGGGGAGCAAACAGGAUUAGAAACCCGUGUAGUCC
rnacentral:rRNA from 1 species